CAGUCGCCGCGGGAAUACGAAGGGUGCAAGCGUUAAUCGGAAUUACUGGGCGUAAAGCGUGCGUAGGCGGUUUGUUAAGUCUGUUGUGAGAUCCCCGGGCUCAACCUGGGAAUGGCAAUGGAUACUGGCAAGCUAGAGUGUGUCAGAGGAUGGUGGAAUUCCCGGUGUAGCGGUGAAAUGCGUAGAGAUCGGGAGGAACAUCAGUGGCGAAGGCGGCCAUCUGGGACAACACUGACGCUGAGGCACGAAAGCGUGGGGAGCAAACAGGAUUAGAUACCCCAGUAGUCCCUGUCUCUUAUAC
rnacentral:rRNA from 1 species